AGUGAACGCUGGCGGCAAGCCUAACACAUGCAAGUCGAACGAACCCUUCGGGGUUAGUGGCGGACGGGUGAGUAACACGUGGGAACGUGCCCUUUGGUUCGGAACAACUCAGGGAAACUUGAGCUAAUACCGAAUGUGCCCUUCGGGGGAAAGAUUUAUCGCCAUUGGAGCGGCCCGCGUCUGAUUAGCUUGUUGGUGAGGUAAAGGCUCACCAAGGCUACGAUCAGUAGCUGGUCUGAGAGGAUGAUCAGCCACAUUGGGACUGAGACACGGCCCAAACUCCUACGGGAGGCAGCAGUGGGGAAUCUUGCGCAAUGGGCGAAAGCCUGACGCAGCCAUGCCGCGUGAAUGAUGAAGGUCUUAGGAUUGUAAAAUUCUUUCACCGGGGACGAUAAUGACGGUACCCGGAGAAGAAGCCCCGGCUAACUUCGUGCCAGCAGCCGCCGUAAUAC
rnacentral:rRNA from 1 species